GCUCAGCUGCAGGGGGGUGACAGCUUGUUUUGGACCAUUCCCAUCCUCCCAGGUGGUGUGAAGGAGCACCAUGGAAGGAACUUCUGUCUGGAACCUUUCAAUUAUGGAUUUGGGAGGCAGUUUCCCCUAACAGCAAGCACCCAGCAGCCGGCAGCUGAUGGCUCAGUUGCUUUGCCUCAUGCACAAAACUUUCCACUUGUGCUUUUCAUCUGCCCAGCGGAGGGAAGUGCCUGCUCUGUGUCCUGCAGAAGGGAAACGUCUGCCCUCCUGUGUCCAAAGUCCCCUCCGGAGAGCAGCCCGGGGUGCACUGACCUCACGGGCAGCUGGACUGAAAUGAAAUGAAAUGACGUUAGCAUCAAUUAUCCUCCGGGACGGGGAGGCUGCCGGGAGAACGGACGGAACGGCGCAGAUUUCCUCAACGCUGAAUAACAAAUGAGAACAACAGCUUGGCUCGGUGGCUGUGUGUUCCCAGAGAGCUUCCAAAGCCCCACCUGCUCCAGCCCUUUGGGUUUGGGGUGCCAACUGC